rnacentral:rRNA from 1 species
GGACUACCAGGGUUUCUAAUCCUGUUUGCUCCCCACGCUUUCGCGUCUCAGCGUCAGCAGAGAUCCAGCAAGUCGCCUUCGCCACUGGUGUUCCUCCGAAUAUCUACGAAUUUCACCUCUACACUCGGAAUUCCACUUGCCUCUAUCUCGCUCCAGGUCGCCAGUUUUGAAGGCAGUUCCGAGGUUGAGCCUCGGGAUUUCACCCCCAACUUAACGACCCGCCUACACGCGCUUUACGCCCAGUAAAUCCGAACAACGCUAGCCCCCUUCGUAUUACCGCGGCUGCUGGCAC